rnacentral:snRNA from 1 species
UGCGUCCUGGUCGGAUGCGGAA